rnacentral:tRNA from 1 species
GACGGUAUAGUUUAAUUGGUGAAAACACCUCCCUUUCACGGAUGCGAUGAUAGUUCGAGCCUGUCUGCUGUCA